AAGUUAACGCUUCCGUUGUCGAUCUACAAGGGUACGUAGAUCACACUCUCCCCUCUCGUUGCUAUGCAUCACCAUGAUCUUGCGUGUGCGUAGAAUUUUUUUUGAAAUUACUACGUUUCCCAACAGCGCCAUGACUGCGUCCACAGCAUCCCGACACCAUGUUCAAGACCAAGUUCUAACCCACAUAUCCAAUCUCCCUCCAUGGAUCUUGCCUCUCAUUGACCAAGAUCAACAAUUACACUCAAUUUCAGAUUUACAAAAGAGAUGGACCUAGAGCAAACAACCUGUGAGGCUUGGUUCGUGUACAUCAACAACGUUGUAUGAUGGUGAAGUUUCUUCACUUCCCCUGACCAGACGCUGCAUGCUCUGCUCACUGAAGGUGCCCGCUGUUUGUGUUUGGAUGUUGUUGCUGCCGUAUGUCAAGUUGAGGAGGCGCUCAUGAUUCUGAGCUUGGCUCUUCCUGACUAGCUCGUCACCAGGCUCACAACUGCGGAAUCAUAGGCGCGAAACGCUUCAAGGUGUCCGCCAAAGCCCGUGUCAUUGAGCAGAAAGUUGCCUCGCUCAACCAAAUUGCACCUGUCAUUGAUGCACGGCGAGGGCACUCGGAAUCUGGUGUUUCUCCGUUGCGAAGCAUGCGAUGUUGAGAGAAAAGAGGGAGACUGCACCGGAGGAAAGCGAAGCAUGGUAGCAGGUAUGAAGAUGAGAGCAUAAUGUUCUCUUUUAGCAAAGGAUCCAUGUUUCUAUUUUUUUCAUCCCAUUGCAACGCACGGGGACCUUUGAUUUGAUUUAGUAUUAUCUUAUACUGUAGAUAGGGAAAUAUGGACACUAAAUAUCCAUUUCUUAGGUGUCAACCUGGUACAUUAGGCUGUAUAUAGUACAUGGCAGAGGUCUUCCAGCUACUAAUUCA